rnacentral:lncRNA from 1 species
GCCGUCAUUGAUCAUGAAAUGUCAGUUUUUUUCGCUUUUUAUAUCAUGCAUGAAAUAUUUGUUUACAUCUUAACUUAAUUGCAAAAUAAGGAAAUUAAGCUCAUACCGCUUUCUUUAGCUUCCCCGUAAAUGACAAGCAGUGGACACAAGAGUGUUUGAUAAAAUGUUUACCAAGAGUGUUUUUAUUCUUGCUGUCGUUUGCUUCGCUACAACAAUGGCUGAAAGGUAUGUUGGAAGAAAGAGUUCGUUUGUAUCAAGGCCUGUAGGUGCACCUGGCGGAAUAAUCCCUGGGGGUAUAGGGGAAUGUUUACCUUUUGAUCCUUUCCAUAGAGUUACUUGCCGAUUUUGCAGUUCAACAAAUGGGAAAUGGAUAUUCACUAAUAAACAUCCGAGGAGUACGAACUCAGGUUGUUUCCGGCAUAAUGUACCACAUGGAGCUCUUUGUUUUUCGAGUUACCAGUUUCGGAAACAUUUGUGAACAGUGUAAUGUGACGGUUGUACACAGACCUUGGAUCGCAGGACAGGAAUUGACCCUACACAGCCAACAAUGUAAAGAAACAUGUUGUCCUUUUUAAUAAAGUGAAGAAGCGUAUUACUGUAUACUUUAAUCUGUGGUCUCGUCUCAUUUAGGUCAAUGUUUGAGAAAUUUGUUUUGUUAUUAUUUCACUGACCAUAAAUGUAUUAUGGACGACUGAAAACAAGAUUUACUUGUCGGGUUGUGUAAUACAACAAAAAGCUUUAAGGGGCAAUGAAUGUAAAUUGCGAAUAUCUUGUGUUUUCAAAGAGAGCUCUCUUGUUUCAAAGAAAUCACACUCUUCGCUGGUGGACAGGUUUUGCUGAAAUAAUUGCCAUUUUGUUGGUUUAUCUUCAAAAAUAAAAUAUUACAAACAAACUGAGGAAUAAAUUUAUAU